rnacentral:rRNA from 1 species
GGGUCAGUAGGUUGGUCGUGCCACCGGUACGUACUGGUCUCACUGAUUCCUCCUACCUGAAGAACCGUAAUGCCAUUAAUUUGGUGUUGCGGGGAAACAGGACUGUUACUUUGAAAAAAUUAGAGUGUUUAAAGCAGGCUAACGCUUGAAUACAUUAGCAUGGAAUAAUGAAAUAGGACGAUCGAUCCUAUUUUGUUGGUUUCUAGGAUUGACGUA